rnacentral:rRNA from 1 species
UAGACCAAAGCCAAUCGUCGCUUUCGGGCGACGUCCACUUGGUGAUUCUGAAUAACUUUGUGCGGAUCGUACGGUCUCGUACCGACGACGUAUCUUUCAAAUGUCUGCCUUAUCAACUUGUUGGUUGUUUACUGGACAACCAAGGUGGUAACGGGUGACGGAGAAUCAGGGUUCGAUACCGGAGAGGGAGCACGAGAAACGGCUACCACAUCCAAGGAAGGCAGCAGGCACGCAAAUUACCCAAUCUCGGCUCGAGGAGGUAGUGACGAAAAAUAACAAUACGAGACUCAACCGAGGCUUCGUAAUUGGAAUGAGUGUGAAUUAAAUCCUUGUUGCGAGGAUCUAUUGGAGGGCAAGUCUGGUGCCAGCAGCCGCGGUAAUUCCAGCUCCAAUAGCGUAUAUUAAAGUUGCUGCGUUUAAAAAGCUCGUAGUUGGAUCUCAGUCUCGAUCAAUCGGUUCGCCUCCCGGCGUUACUGGUUGAAUCGGACGUUGUUGGCCACGUUUCCGGGCAUGCUCUUCAUUGAGUGUGUCUCGGAGAGUGGAGCGUUUACUUUGAAAAAAUUAGAGUGCUCAAAG